UGUCAAGCUCUAAAGGGCGCGUGGUGGAUGCCUAGGCGUGGAGAGGCGAUGAAGGACGUGGACAGCUGCGAUAAGCUUCGGGGAGCCGCUAACAGGCUUUGAUCCGGAGAUUUCCGAAUCGGGCAACCGUGCAGGGUAACCUGCAAGCAACGACGCGAAUACAUAGUGUCGGUGCUGCCAACCCAGGGAACUGAAACAUCUAAGUACCUGGAGGAAAGUAAAUCAAGUCAGAGAUUCCCCUAGUAGUGGCGAGCGAACGGGGAAGAGCCCAAACCUGAUCAGUGUAAGCCUAAGAGCGUUGCUGGUCGGGGGUUGUGGGAUCACUAUUUCAGAUUCUUAGGUCUGGAACGGAGUUACCAAAUUAGUCGCUAGCCGAACAGUUCUGGAAAGGCUGGCUAGAAAGGGUGAAAGCCCCGUACGCGAAAGCGACUAAUCUCCGAAGUGACACCCGAGUACCGCAGGACACGUGAAAUCCGGCGGGAAUCUGGGAGGACCAUCUUCCAAGGCUAAAUACUACUCCACGACCGAUAGUGAACAAGUACCGUGAGGGAAAGGUGAAAAGAACCCCGGCUAGGGGAGUGAAAUAGUACCUGAAACCGCGCGUCUACAAGCAGUGGAACCACUAUGCCCGCAAGGGAAUGUGGAACCGCGUACCUUUUGCAUAAUGGGCCUGCGAGUUACGCUAUGUCGCAAGGUUAAGCCGUUAGGUGUAGCCGAAGGGAAACCGAGUCCUCACAGGGCGUCUAGUGGCAUGGCGUAGACCCGAAACCGGGUGAUCUAUCCUUGGCCAGGUUGAAACGCGGGUAAUACCGCGUGGAGGACCGAACCCACUAAUGUUGAAAAAUUAGGGGAUGAGCUGAGGAUGGGAGUGAAAGGCUAAUCAAACUCGGAUAUAGCUGGUUCUCCGCGAAAUAUAUUGAGGUAUAGCCUCGGACAAAUUGCACCGGAGGUAGAGCACUGAAUGGGCUAGGGGUCCUACCAGAUUACCAAACCCAAUCAAACUCCGAAUGCCGGUGACAAGUAUCCGGGAGACAGGCUGCGGGAGAUAAGUUCCGUAGCCGAGAGGGAAAGAGCCCAGAUCGACAGCUAAGGUCCCCAAAUCCAGGCUAAGUGUCAAAGGAUGUGGGAGCGCUUAGACAACCAGGAGGUUGGCUUAGAAGCAGCCAUCCUUUAAAGAAAGCGUAAUAGCUCACUGGUCAAGCGAACCUGCGCCGAAAAUACAACGGGGCUAAGUCUGGUACCGAAGCUUCGGGUUCUCGCAAGAGAGCGGUAGCGGAGUAUUCUCAGGUAGACACACGGUGUACCGUAAGGAGCACUAUCGGACCUGAGAAGAGCUUAUGCAGGCAUGAGUAGCGAUAAACAAGAUGAGAAAUCUUGUCGCCGUAAGCCCAAGGUUUCCUGGGGAAGGAUAAUCCUCCCAUGGGUUAGUCGGUUCCUAAGCCGAGGCCGAGAGGCGUAGGUGAUGGAAAGCAGGUUAAUAUUCCUGCACCACAAGGGAAGUCGUUGAAGUAAGCAGGGACGGAGAAGGGUAUGCCGAGCCACUUAUUGGAUUGUGGUUCAAGCCUGUAGGCUGGCUGCGUAGGAGUCGAUAGACACAAACGCGUGGUCAAGGCCGAGAGGUGAUGAGGUGAGACUUCGGUCUCGUAACUCGGUGAUCCCAGGCUUCCAAGAAAAGCUGCGUACUGAGACUCUCUGGUGACCGUACCGCAAACCGACUCAGGUGGGCGGGGUGAAUAUCCCAAGGCGCGCGAGAAAACGCUGGCUAAGGAACUCGGCAAAAUGACACCGUAACUUCGGGAGAAGGUGUGCCCACGGACGUGACUAUCUUUCGAUAUGAGCGUUUGUGGGUCGCAGAGAAAUGAGGGUUGCGACUGUUUACUAAAAACAUAGGCCUCUGCGAACUCGUAAGAGGACGUAUAGGGUCUGACGCCUGCCCGGUGCUGGAAGGUUAAGGGGAGAGGUCAGCGCAAGCGAAGCUUCGAACCGAAGCCCCAGUAAACGGCGGCCGUAACUAUAACGGUCCUAAGGUAGCGAAAUUCCUUGUCGGGUAAGUUCCGACCUGCACGAAUGGCGUAACGACAUCCCUACUGUCUCGGUCAGCGACUCGGCGAAAUUGUAUUGGGGGUGAAGAUACCCUCUACCCGCAGCAAGACGGAAAGACCCCAUGAACCUUUACUGCAACUUGACAGUGAAGUUCGGGACAAUCUGCGUAGGAUAGGUGGGAGGCUUUGAAGCCGGGAUUCUGGUCUCGGUGGAGCCACCGUUGAAAUACCACCCUGAUUGUUCUGGACUUCUAACCUAGGCCCGUGAUCCGGGUCGGGGACACUGUCUGGUGGGCAGUUUGACUGGGGCGGUCGCCUCCUAAAACGUAACGGAGGCGCACGAAGGUUCCCUCAGGCUGAUUGGAAACCAGCCGCAGAGUGUAAUGGCACAAGGGAGCUUAACUGUGAGAUCGACAGAUCGAACAGGUGCGAAAGCAGGUCAUAGUGAUCCGGUGGCACAGUGUGGAAUGGCCAUCGCUCAACGGACAAAAGGUACUCUGGGGAUAACAGGCUGAUCGCGCCUGAGAGUUCAUAUCGGCGGCGCGGUUUGGCACCUCGAUGUCGGCUCAUCGCAUCCUGGGGCUGGAGCAGGUCCCAAGGGUUUGGCUGUUCGCCAAUUAAAGCGGUACGCGAGCUGGGUUUAGAACGUCGUGAGACAGUUCGGUCCCUAUCUGCUGUGGGCGCAGGAUACUUGAGAGGAGCUAUCCAUAGUACGAGAGGACCUGGAUGGACGUACCUCUAGUGUUCCGGUUGUCACGCCAGUGGCAAAGCCGGGUAGCCAUGUACGGAACGGAUAAUCGCUGAAAGCAUCUAAGCGAGAAGCCGGCCUCAAGACUAGGUAUCCCGGGACGCAAGUCCCCUAAAGGCCCCUUGUAGACUACGAGGUUAAUAGGCAGGGUGUGGAAGUGCAGCAAUGCACGUAGCUGACCUGUACUAAUCGGCCGUGAGGCUUGACUUA
rnacentral:rRNA from 1 species